CAAGGAUGAAAGAAGUAAUUAAGGAGUUUUCCUUCAUGAUAAAGGUGUAUUAAAUGGGCAAAUUCUUGACGUUGACAAAGACAACAUCAAUGUUACAACCAUUUAUCAACUCCCACAGUGAACUAAAAGGUCGCUUAAAAUAAAUGUAUGUAUACAACUUGUUAUUUAUAAAAUGCGAGAAAGAAUAUAUUUUUGCGGCCGUGACAUAUUAUUUUGGUAUUUUGAUUUGUUUGGUCUGACUUUAUCUUUUGAUAUUUCAUUAAUAAUUUGCGGAUUUGAAGCUUUUUAUGAUGUUUAUAUAUUUUCAUAUUAUCAACAGCUGAAAACGUGACGUAAUUAAGUGAUUUAGAAACAUACUUAUUGCUCACAAAAUAAUUGCGUUUUUGUUCAUUUUUGUAAAUUUUAGACAGAUACCAAAUUAGAUUAUUUAACGAUAUAAAACAUGGAAAAACUAGCAAUCGGUAUUUAUAUAUUGAUGCUGCACACCAUCAGACUAAAUGCAAGGGCCACCGAUGAUCGUUGUUCUAUAGCCAAAGUUGAAGCAGCAAAACACGAAUGUCAUGACGUUUAUGCUGGGGGACCACCAUGGCGACUUUGACACUAUAUGUGAAAAUGUUGAAUGUUAUCUUCAAUGUCUAAAAGAAGCCAUUGGCGACUGUAGUAAUGAAAUCCACCAUUUUAAAGAGGACAUCGAAGUUUAUAAAGCACUUUACAGAGUAAGAUGUUUAAAUGCAACAU